rnacentral:SRP_RNA from 1 species
GCCAGGCAUGGUGGCUCAUGCCUGUAAUCCCAGCAUUUUGGGAGGCCGAGGUGGGUGGAUCACCUGAGGUCAGGAGUUCGAGACCAGCCUGGCCAACAUGGUGAAACCCCGUCUCUG